UUUGUAUUCUUUGAUUCUUCAGGGGGGAUCAAGUGCUGACAGUUGGAGCUCUGUUUACUCUGAUAUUUGACAAUAUAGUUGGUCAAGAACUCUUGGUCGAUAAACAGACAUGCCAAUUCUUAUGUCAUUUUGAGAUCUGGUGAAGCUGUCAAUCUCCAUGGGUCUUCCUCUGUGAGCCAACUUGUUCAUUUGUUACACUAUUAUUUUAUAUUUUUGGCAAGUAGCAUGUUGAUAUAGCAUUUUCAUUCCAGUUAAAAAAAUAUAUAAUGUUAUUAUUCUUUCAGCUAUGUUGGGUACAUGGAAGUGUAAUCCAUGCAAUUUCAUGCCAAUGCCUUGAAUGUGCUUUUGAUGUCCUUUAUGUUAUUAGCAAUCAUCUGGAUAGUCCAUGCUUUGUGGGUUAGAGAUAGAAAGAUUUUUUUUUACUCUUUUGUACCAUAUGAUUUUGUAAAAUUAUGUUGUUACUUUGAAUGCCAAUCUUGAGUUUCUCUA
rnacentral:lncRNA from 1 species